rnacentral:rRNA from 1 species
UACGUAGGCAGCGAGCGUUGUUCGGAGUUACUGGGCGUAAAGCGUGCGUAGGCGGUGUUCCAAGUCUGGUGUGAAAUCUCCCGGCUCAACUGGGAGGGUGCGCUAGAAACUGGGACGCUGGAGUGUGGGAGAGGUAAGCGGAAUUCCUGGUGUAGCGGUGAAAUGCGUAGAUAUCAGGAGGAACACCUGCGGUGUAGACGGCUUACUGGACCAUGACUGACGCUGAGGCACGAAAGCGUGGGGAGCAAACAGG